rnacentral:rRNA from 1 species
GGAGUUAGCCGGUGCUUCUUCUGUGAGUGAUGUCCUUCCUGCCGGCUAUUAACCCGCAGGCCUUCUUCCUCACUGAAAGUGCUUUACAACCCGAAGGCCUUCUUCACACACGCGGCAUGGCUGGAUCAGGGUUGCCCCCAUUGUCCAAUAUUCCCCACUGCUGCCUCCCGUAGGAGUCUGGGCCGUGUCUCAGUCCCAGUGUGGCUGAUCAUCCUCUCAGACCAGCUACGGAUCGUCGCCUUGGUGAGCCGUUACCUCACCAACCAGCUAAUCCGACAUAGGCUCAUCCGAUAGCGCGAGGCCCGAAGGUCCCCCGCUUUCCCCCGUAGGGCGUAUGCGGUAUUAGCCUGGGUUUCCCCCAGGUUAUCCCCCACUACCGGGCAGAUUCCUAUGCAUUACUCACCCGUCCGCCGCUCGACACCAGGGAGCAAGCUCCCCGUGCUGCCGCUCGACUUGCAUGUGUUAGGCCUGCCGCCAGCGUUCAAUCUGAGCCAUAAUCAAACUCUGA